rnacentral:rRNA from 1 species
GUGUGUUGCCAAACCCCCUCAGGCUGUGAUCUUGUCAGCUCUCAUACACGAAGCAAGGCUGGGCUGGGCUAGUACUCAGGUGGGAAGCCUCCAAGGAAAAUACAAGGUACUUCAGGAA